GUAUUGUAUUGCGUUAAACGCGGCAAACAUUCCAUGAGACUUUACGGCAGUGUGUGUGUGUGUAAAGGUGUAGAACCACGGGCAAGGGGGACAAAGUCACCCAGGCCAUGGAGCUACAGAGGGUGCACAGGUGUGGGUGGAUGUGUAAACAGAGCGUGCACAUGCCCCCGGUUUGGGGACCAGCAACAACUCGUGUUGACAAUUCGGUAAUGAUCCUUCCGCAGGUUCACCUACGGAAA
rnacentral:misc_RNA from 1 species